CCUGUCUUUGGACACAAAAUGAUGGUGACAGCUUUCCUAGAUAGAUUUCUGGCAAACCCAAAAACUGAUGUUAAUAUAGAAGCCUUGUCCAAAAGGAAAAAAAAAAGGGGGGGGCAGUGGGAGAGAAAAUACAUAUACUCUAACUACUACUGGGCAGAUUUAAACGCAGCCCAACAAUAUUUAUUGAUUUUAAUUUUAAUUUUAAUCUUCUCCCCAUCAAUUUGACUUCACCUGAUGAAUAAACCUCAGCUGGGCAUUUCCGAGCCUUCACUAUUCAAAUAAGUAAGGAAAUAAGGAGAUAAAUAAUAAAAUAAAAUAAAAAUAAAAUAAUAAAAUAAAUAAAAAUAAAAUAAUUCAACAGGAAACUUUCCCUAGGCAAAUAAUUUGCUUCUUUCCCUCUCCGUGGCUGAAUUUCAGGGUUGACUCGACGGCAGCAGAGAGAACAUUUUUUAACUUUAGCUGAAUCACACACUGGAAAUGAAACGAAGACUGCCGUUCUCACGCCUUCACAAUCAACAGGGCUGAACUUUGGGAAAAACAGGGCGGAAAAGUUAAAUGGCAAUGCAAACCGCAGCACCUUGGUACAAAUCUACCCUCCUUUCUGCCCGGUCGGCCGGCUGUUAAAGGCCAAGGCGAGGGGCGGCCGCGAGGGCUCGCCAGCGUCACCGGUGACUUAGUCAAAGGCGCGAGAUUCGCCGGCGCCCCAAUGCCUCUAACUCGGCUGCUGGCGCCGGGCGAAAUGGCCGCGAUUUUAAGGUGCAAGUUUCUUCCGUGCAGGAGCGCUCCAGUAGCCUCUCCCUUUCCCCGCGCCCUUCACACGAGGGCGGCCUACAGUGCCGGGCCGGAAACUUUUAAUCGUUGCUCUUUCAUACCUGUCUGGAGACGGACAGGUGGAUCCUCGGAGCUUUUCUGAGGUAGAAGUCUAAGUAACCAGGAAGUAACUGCCGUCUGGUCUUAGACGAGGGAGCCUGUUGCCCGCCGCCUACCAUUAUCAUCGCCCUGAUUGCUGUAGGGAGCGAAUUUCAGACCUUGUCCUCGGUAGGAAGCACUUUUUCCUCGCUAACAAAACAAGACGUUCGGGGAGCCGGGGGAUCCAUCGCCUCCUCUCUCGUGUUUCACUUUCCUCUAUGGGUUUAUGACUGCUCAUCUGACAGAGAACAUGGAGCUCACGCCGUUCUUCAAACUCCCAUCUUCCCAACUCAUUAGAAGUUUAGGAUCUGUUGCUCCCAUCGUACUCAUGAUCCUUCUGCUGCUUCUCUGUUUUCCUUUUAAAAAGAAAAAGCAUUGCUUGUCAAUCAGAACCAGGAAGAAGGACUUAAAUAUGUCUGAACUAAUCGAUCUGACAAAACUGGAAGAUGGGUUGCCUCCAGAAAGAAAGUCUCUUGCAGAUCAAUGUUUACCCAAAGGUAACACUUUGCCUAGUCACCAAGCAAAGCAGCAAUCAAAUGGAUUUUCUUCAGAGCUUCAGCAAGGAAAUGCAGACUCUCCAAAAUACACACAGGUAGUUAACUCAAGCCAACAAAGGAUGGAGAAACUGAACAUGAAUCAUCAAAGAGACUUGAGUCCACCAGCACCAGGUUCCAACAAACCAUCCCCAAGCCCGCUGCAGUUCAGAAAACUCCCAGUGACUCCUAAAGAGGCCUGCCUGUCUAGAAUGUUACCAUUGACUCAGAAUCCAGACAACCUAGUUUAUGAAAGCAUUGGUACUAAAGAACAGGAAUUAUAUAGCAAGGAUUGGUUGGAAGGAAGGACAGGCUGUCAGAUGGCAGCUAAUAAUAAUUCGAUCUGUGCCAUGACACUUAGAUUUGGAGCAGGGCUUGUGGAGCUUGGUGGGAAAGAUUCUGAAGCUGCAGGAUCCAACAACAUGCACGCGCAAUUGUCUCCAGCUGAAACAUGCCAAGAGUCAUAUGGCCAGUUGCAGGACAUGGCAUCUGAGAAAGAGGCCCCUCAGGCUCAGCUUGAGUCUGACUCAAGGAGACUAAGUGCCAUGUAUGCUCGAGUGUGCAAGCGUACCAAGGCAGCUCAGCCAGCGCAACCUGAAAAUCAUGAUGAGCCUAAGAAACAAGAAGAGGAAGAACCCCCACCCAUUCCAGAAAAAUGUUUUGAGCACAUCUAUGAAAGCCUGAACAUUGAUGCAAACACUUUUCCCCCUUCUGACAUCAAUUCUGACUUUCCUGGGCCUUUUUUCAUUGACUGGCCAACUUGGAAGCGUUCCUCUGGCAACGGCAGGGCCGAGAUGGUGGCCACCAAAAAGAUAAAGAGGCCUUUAGAAUCGAUAAAUUCAAGACUCCAGCUGGUUACGAAAUAAGACACUGGAAAGUCAAGGAGGCAAGACAGGUCUGACUUCUAGAGAAAUUUCCUGUUACCUUUUUUUCUGGCUUGCCAGUUUUUGAUCAGUACAUAUCAAAAACUGAACUUCAUAUGCACAUCAGUCACCACUGGCAAUCUUUCUGCAGCUUGAUCUUCUAAGAAAAGGCUAAAAACCUCUAGCCAUAUGUCUCUGAGCUACAAAGAAAGAAGUUAAUCAUCAGAAAGGCAUUUCAUGAAGCAAUUGUCCACCAUCUCUAUACCAUUAACCAGCAUGUAAUUUGUAUUUCUCUGGAAAUGGUGGGGAACAAGUUUGUCUUAACAGCUUGCUACAGCUCUUGGAUGCAAAUUUGUGCAACCCUACUUGUUGCUAACAUACAAUUUCAUAUUAUGGGCAAGAAUUAAAAAAAAGAAAAGAUUCCUAUUUACAAGUUUGUUAAGCCAUGUUGGAUAUUAUCCUAAUUUGUACACAGAGGGGAGGGUCUAUUCACUUUAACUUGAUUCUCAUCAAAAUUUCAAACUCGCAAAUGAAGGCAAAGGCUAUUUUCCUUUGGUGUAUGUUCUGUAAAUAUAAUUAAAUAAUUAUGAAGAAAUAAUUAUUUAAAUAUCUUGUUUGAUUGAAUCUAUUGUAAGACUGAGAGCCAGAUUGGUGUGGUGGGUUAAAGGCAUCUGGAAGAUCGGGGAGACCAUGAGUUCUACUUCUGCCUUAGGCACAAAGCCAGCUGGAUGGCCUUGAGCAAGUCACUGUCUUUCAGCCCUAUGAAGGAGGUAGUGGCAAAACACUUCUGAAAAACCUUGCCAAGAAAACUGCAGGGACUUAUCUGAGAAUCAGACACAAUUAAAUGGAAGAAAAAACAACUGUAGGACUAGGACAAGAGACCAUUUAUGCAUGGCUGGGAGCAAAACAGAAAAUUAUCCAUAUAGUGCUAUACUGAAACAACCUUGAUCCUGGUUUUGAUUCUUAAUUGUUGGCAAGUAUGCAUAUGCAUAAUAUUUAUGAAUUUCUUAUAUUACCAGGAUUUUUUUUUAAAAAAAAAAAUUUGGAAACUCUGAAAAAAUAACAAUUUAAAUGAAAACAUUAAAUGGAAUCAUAACAAAUUCCUGUCUUCAUGUUUUCCUUUUGGUUUUGGAUAGGCACACUACUGCCAAAGCAAAGUUUACCAGAAUCCUAGAAUACUUAAUUGCUUUUUUCAUGGGCCAACAAUUUUUCCCCAUUAAGAAAAAAAAAAAAACCCAAAAUACCAAAACCAAACAAAACAAAUACACAACUAAAUUUCCUUUUGAGUGAAAAAUGCACCAGGAACUUCAGACAGCAUAUAUUUCAGUUAUUGCUAUGGCCAUUGAUUAGGUAAGAGAAUUUAAAAACAGGAACAGGACUUUUUUACAAAAUGAAUAGAUAAAAUAGGAGCUACCCCUUUUGACUUAUUCCCGUUCCUAGAAAGACUGCAUAAGAUAUUUAUGUCAAAAUUAAAAUUGGAAAUGUGAUCUGUGGGAUGGACCAACUGCCCUUCAUUAUGCUUUUACUGGAUAUCCUGCAUUUUUCUUUUACAGGAUUCAUUUCUCCCUUUGCAAGUCACUAUUGUCUCACAUCAUGAGACAAUAGUGAAUGGUUCAUCCAUUCAAAAUCUAGAUGGUAGUUACAAAAAACCAAAAUUACAAAAUCAAAAGAGGCAGUUUUAGAUCACUUUCACCACCCUAUUGUUUUACAAGGAUUAAAUCGGCUUCUCAUACCAAUGAUGUUUCAUGUUUGUUAAAGUAUGUCUUAUCUCUUAUUCAUAGGAAGCGCAAUGGCUCAGCUGGAAAGCUGACAGGUUUGUGACCUGAGAACCAUGCAAUGGGGUGAGCUCCUGUUCCUGCCCCAGCUUCUCCCCACCUAGCAGUUUGAAAGCAUGCAAAUGCAUGUAGAUUAAUAGGUACCACUUUGGUGGGAAGGUAACAGUGUUCCCUGCAUCUUUGGCUUACAGCUAAGCUGGCCACAUGACCACAGAAAAUGUCUUUGGACAACACUGGCUCCCUUCGCCAAGAAACAGAGAUGAGCACCAUGCCCUAGAGUCAGACACAACUGAACAGGAAAACCUCUACUUUUACCUUAUCUCUUAUUCAGUAACUCAAAGGGAUACACUUCAAACUAGAGAUGGUUGCCUUUUCAGCCAGUGAGGCUAUUUGGAAUGUGUGGAUACUCUGUCAAAAUGGUUGCUUGUCCUAAAAAGCAUGACCAAUCAGAAACUCCUAUUUUUUGUAUUGAUUUUAAAAAAUAACUGGGGGGAAAAAAGCUCAAAGAUCAUUAUAAUACAAAUACAUACAAAAACUAUACAUAAAAAGUGUUUAAUGAAGUAAAAACACUAUACAAAAGAGAAACAAAGUAUAUUAUUACAGCAAUUAACAGUUAUAAUUUUCUAUAUACUUAGCUAAUGUAAAUGUUAUUCAAAUGCACAUAUAUAUUUCAAUAUAUUUUAAUAACUAUUACUUUUUAACUCAUUAAUAUGUUGUUUAAUUGAAUUUCAUAUUUCAUUAUACUUGUAUGUACAAAAUCUGUGUUUAUAGGCAAUCUGUUUAUAGGUGGCAAAUGUAAUCAGGUCUUCAAUCCAUUGAGUGAAAAGAAAUAUAAAUACAUUUAUAUUUCUAUGUCCCAAAGUGCGUUUUCAAGAGGCAACUGAACUUUCUUGUUUUUCUUUGAAGAUGUUUCACUCAUCCAAGAAGCUGACUGGAUGGUGGGG